rnacentral:misc_RNA from 1 species
AAAAAGAAAAGAAAAUAAAUUAUUGUCAAAAAAGGAAAAAUACUGAGCAUGAUUGAUUAAUCUUUUUCUUUUCUUUUUGCGUCUAUAAGAAGGCUAUGAGCUUCAUUCACUUGGAACUCGCUGAAUUAGGCAGCUACGAUGGCCAAAUAUGCUCUGGUUACUCUCUUCAUCCUCCUCUUAAACUUAGGCACUUUGCUUUCUUCUCUUGCUUGCCCUUAUUGUCCUUACCCAACUCCACCCUCUAAGCCACCCAAACAUCCUCCAAAAGUAAAGCCACCACCUCACCAUAAACCACCAAAGCCUCCUGCUGUUCCCAAACCUCCACAUGUACCCAAACCUCCACAUGCACCCAAACCACCCAUUGUGAGGCCACCGAUCAUACCCAAGCCUCCAAUUGUGCAUCCACCAUAUGUACCCAAACCUCCUGUAACUCCAGCACCACCCAAACCUCCUGUAACUCCAACACCACCAACUUUACCACCAAAGCCUCCGGUGACACCACCCAUAAAGCCACCAUCACCACCAACUGAAACACCAUGCCCUCCUCCUCCACCACCUCCGGCGCCAUGUCCACCUCCACCGCCGAAGCAAGAGACUUGCCCCGUUGACACUCUCAAGCUAGGAGCAUGUGUUGAUGUCCUAGGUGGUCUAGUGCACAUUGGUAUUGGCAGUAGCGCUAAGGACGCUUGCUGUCCAGUGCUUCAAGGGCUUGUCGACUUGGAUGCUGCUUUGUGUCUAUGCACCACCAUUAAAGCUAAGCUUCUCAACAUUAAUAUUAUUCUACCCAUUGCACUUGAGGUCCUUGUUGAUUGUGGCAAGACUCCGCCGCCGGGGUUCCAGUGUCCUGCCUAAACAAGUGUACUGUUUGAUGCGAAGCUCUAGUCACUUUUGCCAAAGAAUAACUUGGGAAUGUCUUAAUUUCUCACACUGUCUAGUAAACGGACAAACAUUUUAGGAACUGUUAAUUUGUGUUUGUUCUAAAGAAUAUAUGCUGAUUAAUCUGUACUUUCUUUUGCAAAAUUCUUCUAAUGAAUGUGACAUGAUCAUCCCACCUCCUUUGUAUCAUUUUCUUUAAGGUUCACUAGACUUGAUUCUCCAUGAGUUAUAAAAUAAAUAUUUGUGGAAUUUA